CCAGAAGUCAUUCCCUAUGACCAGUGGACUCAACAGAAACCAGAAACAAAGCCUAUGUUUUCUGGUUGGCUUAAGGGUGCAUUUGGAGGUGGAAAGAAAGAGAUGCAAGAAUCUAUACAGCAGAACCUCAAUUUUAUUCUCAGUACUGCUCCAAUUUGGGAUAGGGUGGAGCUCAAAGGUAAUAAAUAUGUACUUGGAGAAUUUCUG